rnacentral:rRNA from 1 species
CAGGAUGAACGCUAGCGGCAGGCUUAACACAUGCAAGUCGAGGGGCAGCGGGGAGGAAGCUUGCUUUCUCCGCCGGCGACCGGCGCACGGGUGAGUAACACGUAUGCAACCUGCCCCUGUCAGGGGGACAACCCGCCGAAAGGCGGGCUAAACCCGCGUACAUGCCACCGGGGCAUCCCGGAGGCAGGAAAGGCUUCGGCCGGACAGGGAUGGGCAUGCGGCGCAUUAGGCAGUAGGCGGGGUAACGGCCCACCUAACCGACGAUGCGUAGGGGUUCUGAGAGGAAGGUCCCCCACACUGGUACUGAGACACGGACCAGACUCCUACGGGAGGCAGCAGUGAGGAAUAUUGGUCAAUGGUCGGGAGACUGAACCAGCCAAGCCGCGUGAGGGAGGAAGGUACAGAGUAUCGUAAACCUCUUUUGUCAGGGAACAAAGACUGGGACGCGUCCCCGGAUGAGUGUACCUGAAGAAAAAGCAUCGGCUAACUCCGUGCCAGCAGCCGCGGUAAUACGGAGGAUGCGAGCGUUAUCCGGAUUUAUUGGGUUUAAAGGGUGCGCAGGCGGUCUGUUAAGUCAGCGGUCAAAGCCCGGGGCUCAACCCCGGCCCGCCGUUGAAACUGGCAGUCUCGAGUUGGAGAGAAGUAUGCGGAAUGCGCGGUGUAGCGGUGAAAUGCA